CGGGGUGUAGCGCAGUCUGGUAGCGCAUCUGCUUUGGGAGCAGGAAGUCGGCGGUUCGAAUCCGUCCACCCCGA
rnacentral:tRNA from 1 species